GGAACACUGACAGGCCUUAACUGCCCUGCCCAGCCUCACCUGGGGCUUCCUCCCACCCCCUGCCCACUGGCCUUGGAGCCCUAUUUAAGCUCUGGCCUGGGCAGCCAGCUCUCCCCUGAGCGAUGCUGUGGGUGCAGCAGUGUGCUGUUCUUUCUCCUGCUUGCUGACUGGAUUUCCCAGGCUGGUCCCUGGGACAGCUGGACCCUGGUGACAAUCGCACAGUACCCUGCAGACAUAGCGGCAAUGCCUGUUCAACACUGGCUCUGGGCUAGGACUGAAGGUCCCUGAGCAGGGCAGUGGAAUUCUUGUGUACACCCAGGAGCAGGCUGUGUAAGGUUGUUUUUGUGAACAUCCUGGAUGCGUUGUCCAAAAGCCUCACAUCAGGGCAAGAACGUGAGCACAUCCAGGCAAAGCUGUGUUAGAGGUUUGGUUCCUCAGCCUGAUUUUAAUCAUCUCACAUCAUCUUCCCCCCAGCCAGCUAGUGUUAGAUAUAACCUGCCUUCUCUAAAAGGCAGUGCAAGCAGUGCUCAAGCAUUGUUUACAGUGCAGGGAUUUUUAAUGGUCCCUCCACUUGUCUCUGUUGCUGUUUGUUAAUGGGAAUUGCUUCGGCUCAGUUCUGUACUUCCCAGGCAGGAUCAUCCCUUACCUUGAAGAAGUUCUCCAGGACAUAGUUAACAGCAAUCCAAUUGAAUACUUCUUUGUUUAGACUGGACAGGAUUUGUGCCCCCUGAAAGUCAAAGGGCGUUGACUUCAGGGCCACAGUCAGGGCUGCGAGGAGAUCGUCAGAGAAGGUGGGAUGGCUGAGGCUAGACAGAAAAGAAAAAGAAGGCACAAUUGCUGUUACAGGGCCUUGCCAGGAGCAGCCCACAGAGUGCACAGCUGCAGGACAUCUGCUGUGCUCCCUAUUUUGGGUGGCAGCACUGUGAGGCACAACGAUAAUCCUCAUCCUGCUGCUGCUUCCCUCUCCCCUCGCACAGCACUGGUGGCAACAACAGCCUGCGCAACGAAAAUGCAGAGGGAAGGUUUGAGCAGCUGUGCCACCAGUCAAGAAUCUGGGAGCUUAGUACCCACUGACACUGAGGGAUCCUGUGGCCUUGCCAUCAGACUCCAGACUUUACUUUUCCCCAAUGUCCAUAAGGAGCCAGAGGUCCCAGUGAGGUGACUGAGAACAGGUCCAGUAUGUAGGGUGGACCUUCCCACCACUGCUCCCAACCUGCUGCCAAGAAGCACCACUGCACACUCACGUGGAUUGCCAUUAAAGCUAAAAACACUUCAGCUUCCAGACUGACAGAUGCUUCCCCCAGCCCUGAUUGUGAAGGGACCAGUGGCAGUAGCAAGACUGUCGUCUUCAUGGCUGCUUUGGGGCACAGGGUAUGGACACAGCCAUGCCGUGCUCCCCUCCAGUACAUGGGGAGCUGAAGAAGGUUUACCUGACCAGCAGAUUAGGGAUGAAACACUGCAGAGCAGACAGGGUGAGACUCAUUUACAGACUGAUCCACAUGACGUAGUGCUGAUCUCUGGGUGUGGGUUUGCAACAUGCACUCACUUCAGCUGCCUCGUGCUGGUGGUUGCUCCCAGGUAGAGGGGAGUUUGGCUGUGCUGCUCUGCUGGGAUCCUUUUCUGGGCCCAGUUCAAACAUGUAUCCAAGCUCUUCCCUACUUUCUGAGGUGAAUCUGAGUAGCUGGAGAUUCCUGGACCUGGGGAUCAGGGGAAAGAAUGGAAUUUUCUAGUGGCAAGAUGUGGGAGAAGUUGUGGGAGGUGUUACUAGAGGGCGUGCUGUCCUUCAGGACAUGCACAAAGCCAGGAUCUGUCACAGGUGGAACAAAGGAGCUCCCACUUCUUCCAUUUCUCUCUUCUGGGAGUAAAAUGGUCAAUAUGUAAAUACCAAAUUACAUUCAUCUAACCUCAGCUGUGCUGCUAAGAUACCCUGUAAAUGACCAUGCGCCAGCCACAUGACUGCUGCAACAGCUGAGGCUGUCUCAGCUCAGAGGAAAAAAUAUAAGUGCUAUAAAAGAUAAGCAAAGGGCACACUGCCACGCAGGCAGCAUCGAAAGUGAUGUCAUCUCCUUCCUCCAGCCACUUCCUUCUGUGUUGGCGGAGGUGGCUUGUGAACCAGCUAUCUACCACCAGGGCACCUCUGCUCUAGAGGAAGCUGGUGCUGUGCAGACAGAAGCUGUGUGCAAGCCUUGACUCAUCUUUCCGAGCGAGAUUCAAUGUGGUCUGAAAUGUUGGUUUUGAACAACCAUCCAGAAAAAGCCUGGCUUCCCCAGCCUCUGGCCCUCUCGCCUUGCUGGCUGCGUGACUCCCUCCCCAGGGGCUUUGCUCUCCUGGGCCCCGUAUGGAGCUGAGCUGCAGCCUGCUUGUGGCCACUCACACAGUGACCGCACUGCCACACAGACCAAGGGCUGCCUCUCACAUGUGAAAAGAGACCCUGCAGACAGGGAAUUCUUGCUGCUGCUGACACCCUGCUGCAGCAGCUUCAAGUAAGUGUUCAAGCAUGGAGCUACAGUUAGUUUUUUAACCCAGCCUGAGACCGUGGCAGCAGUCAAGACAAACACAAGGUUUCAGGGAGCUCUUAGUGCACCAUCUGUGUGUGGUUUGUUUCGCUAGCAGCCUGCAAGAGCAUCCCUUCCCUGCUUGUUGCGAGGCUGCCCUGCUACUGAGAGUUCAGGGCUUCCCAGCAUUCUGCUGUAAUCAUGCCUCAACAUCAAAGCAAGAUUUAGAGAUAGGGAAGAAAAACCCCAAGCGCAUUAAAGCACAAAACUCUUUUAGCUGGCACCCGUGGGGCUUAGGCGACCCAAACUAUUGAGGAAUACCCCAGUAUUCUCCAAAAUGUGACACCUAAAGCCACGCUGAACUCAUACGUUUGGUAUCAAAGGGGUUGGAGCUGUCAUGCCUCCUGUGAGGCUACACCACUCACUGCCCAGAGUACAGCUGGGAGGAGGAAAAAGUUACCAGGAGCCUCCCUGCAGCCAGACUUGUCUCCAUUGCUGUUCACCAUCUCCCCUGGAUGAGGACCUCAGCAACCCUGGCUUGUCCACUGACCCACAGUGGAUGUUGGAACCACCCCUCGGUGUGCUCCCCCAGCUGUAGCAAGCCACCGAAGCUGUCAUCUGCUACUGAAGUGCUCUGACACUCAGCUGUGUAUAGAUAAAUCUGCCCACGCUGAGGAAGACCCAUGCUGAAAAUAAGCAGCCUGCGCUUCACUGUUGCCAACAUUUCAGGUUUCAGCUAGAUGAUACAGGAGCUGAGGAAAUCGCAGCAGUGGACCACACACAGAUCUCUCCAUUUUGUUCCAUCCUGUGCUAAUCCCAGAGCCCAGAAUUCAUGGAUCGGGCACCUUACCUGGCACGACACAGGAACUGCACUCUGUGAUAACCCCAGUCUUGUUUGCCUUGGUAGUGGUCCAGUGGUAGAUGAACAGGACAGGUGCGGGAUGGGCCAGCAUCCAGGACAACGCCAUACUGGAAAACCCCGAAAGCAUUCUAAAUAAACACUGAAUGCACAAUUCUUUGUUAUUGUAGGGCCGUUCAUUGUUUUGUAGGUACUCUGGGUGACCCAUGGGCCUACACAGCAGUAUUUGAUUUAGCUUUUUAUAUUCAAAGAAAGAGUGAAGGCAGGAGAUGACGAGCAUUUAGAGUGAAGCAUCUGCAUUUCUGAAUAUAUACACGAGGAGCAGCAGAAGUGGAGAAACACCCAGAAAUACAUAAUUUCUGUAGUGGCAUGCUCUGUGGAUGUUCCUGAAACCAAGCAGAGGGCUUCCAUGGCAAGCCGAGCCAUCUGGAGCUUGGGAAAAACAGGUCCUAGUGCAGUGGGAGACGGAACUAUACAGUUUCGCAGCUGAAUCUGGGACUCAGAUUGCUGCUGGGUUAAUAUGUUAGAGAAAGAAGCCUUUCAUGCAGAACUUGGAGGGCUGUGGCUUUCUGCUGCUUCUAAGGAACCCGAGACUCACUUCCCUACUGGAGAUAGUGCAGCAUGGGUUGGGUUUGCCCUGAUGUGUGCCAGAUCUGUUCGAGCCGCAGCGUACUUCGGACUAACCAUCUCAUGCACUGUCCCAGUGCAGCCGUCCCAUGCAGACUGAGAUGAUGUCUUGGCAGGAACAGCAGCAGCCUGUGUGAGAUUUCUCAACACCUUGUGCACUGUCAUUUCUCCUACUGCCUAGUAGUGAGGCUGAGGGUUUUCUUAGUCUCCUUGCAGCCCAGGGAUCUGGUCUGUUUGCCACUAAUUGAACUUGGCAGUGCUGCACCUGGUACAUGAGGGUUAGGAAAGGAGAGACCACAGGGGUACCCUGCAGUGCAGCUCUCAAAAUGCCCUUAAAAUAGCACUCGUGCUAGCCUUGGGUAUCGCUUCCCCAUUCCAGUCUGGGACAUCUACACAGGAAAGCAGUGUAGAUCUGGGAGUUAUGCGGUAGUGUGUGGUCUAAGCUGCAUCUUCUACAGAAAUACUCAUAGCUGUCACUGAGUGGGAGGAGAAAGCUCUGGAGAGGCCUCUAGAGAGGCUGGUGCUUGCAGUGUCGGAAGGGUUUUAGCAGAAGAUGGAGUCUGGCUCAGCCCUGCCUGCUGCCAGCUGCCUGCACCCUUCCUGGGAGCUCCCGGGCUCGGUGCUGGGGCUGGAGCUGGUGCGGCUGGAGCCUGAGCAGAAUGCGGAAAGGGGACGCAGCUCCCUGCCCGAGCCUGCUGGCAUCCUCCCACACGAGUGACAGCUCGUAUUUCUGGCAGGGACAUGUCAGCUGCCGCAGGAGAGGAGGAAACAAAUGGUCUUGGUGGAGAAGCCGGGAUUUUUCCUCCCUCACAAAAUGAGAGAGCGCUGCUGGGAGCGCAAGGCAGGGGAGAGGAUUGCUGCUUUAGUGCCACAGCUCAGCAUCAGGGAAGGAAAGAGGUGCUGGCAAAGCAUGGAGUAACAGGGUUUUUUUAAUCCAGUUUUGUUUGAGAAGCCUGGGGGAGGAUAGUGUCUCUAAACUUGUAGGUUAGCCUAGUUCUGAAUAAACCACAGUGUGUGACUAAGCACACCUCAGCAGCUUUGUGUCAAGAAGCACAGGCAGAUCUGACAGCUGUGUGUGGCAGGCUGGAUCUUCAGCUGAGAUCAAGAGGGGAAAGGAGAAGUAGGAGAGAAAACCCUACCAACUUCAAAGAGGGACCCAGCUCUUUCCCUCCCCUGAAACCACGGCCCCUUGCUGCUGUGGGGUGGCUCCUGCUGGGGGCUGCCUCUGCCCAGCCCACACGGGGCAUUUCUGCUGGCUGAUGGACAAUGCUCAGCCUGUGCCUCCCCUCAACAUCUGGGCACCUGGACCCAAAGGCUCAGCUUGGUUUUGGUUUGAAAAGCUACACUAUGCCGAAGGAUGCUCUUGGAUCCUCACAGCCUUGUUGUGAUCCAUGCUCUGUUGUUUCAGGCUACGAAGUCAGUAGCUCAAUGAAUCUAAAAAGCAACAAAACGCCAGUUUGUAGUUGAAGUGCCUGGCUUGCACCAUGGAGAGGCACAAGGAAACAGGCAGGCUCUCCUUAAGCAAUAGCCCCAUAGCCACGGAUAGCGUCCUUUGCUUAUUGCCCCUCUUGACCCCAGCUUUGCCACCCCUGCCGGAGCCGUUCGCCCUUACCUUGAUCUUGAGCGGGGCGACGGGCACGUCUUUGGUGGAGACGCAGAGCAGCACGAUGCCCGUCAGUCCCGCUACGAUCACCAGCCAGGGGGGAAGGAGCUCACGCCAAGACAUGAAGCACUUUUUGUCAGAAAGUCAAAGAGGAAGCAGAGGAGCAGCGAACGCAAGCUCACAUCUGACAGCAGCUGCUUUCUACGAGCUUUAAAAAGAGGAGAAAGGCGGGGCCAGGGCCAGGCUCUGGCUUCAGCCCAGCCCCAAGCCACAGGGACCAUGAGGAGCGCGUGGGCCAGGCUGCGACGGGCCGGGCAGAGCACCCGUCUGCCAGCCAUGCACACAGUCAGUGCAACCACAGCUUCGUGCGAUUCCGGUGCUCGCUUGGCAGAGGCAUCGCCAGAACCUCGAAACCGCCCCGGGCAACGGUGUUGAGGGUAAACAGAAAUGCGGGGUGAACUCUCCUGUUUAAUAAGCAGGAAGCAGGCAAACUCAUCGCGCUGGUAUUCUGCGCCUGGCAGUGCUAGCAGGAGCUGCCAAAAUUAGAAAUGGGGAAACUCCUCGUGGCUGGGUUUCCUUUUCAUCCGAGGGCCGUGCUUGGCACUGGUGUGGACCUGAGGCGCUCCCUGCAAGGAUGCCUUCAUCUGCGAUGGGGCAGAGCACUGGCGUGCUGCCUCCAGACUGCUCGUGGUGCCUCGUCUGCACUCAGGUGGCAGCUGAGAUGGGAAAACAUCUGCAUUUUUGGGUUCCACACACAGGAGGCUCUGGCUGGCUUGCUCCUUGCUUUGGGUGGGAGGCAGCCGGGGCUGCUCAGGCCGUUUGGCCCCCAGGCCUGUAUCAGCACCAGUGCCUGCAUGCCCCUUCCCUCACAAAGACACAUCCCUGAAAACAGAGUUUCUGAGGAAGAAUCUCUUAGCCUCAGGAGAGGUGUUUCUUUCAGGCUGUUCUGCUCUGCUUCCCAGUGACUGGGUCUAGUAAUAAACCUGCAACUGCUUUAAAAUAAAUGUUUUGGCUUGUACAAACUGACCUGUUUCUUGGCAAGGCAAUCUUGACCCCAUGGCCACCAGAAGACUUCACCAGCCAGGCCUGUACCUGCAGAAUGACUAGAAGAAUGACACCAUCAGGGUGUAUUUGGAGACACAUCUCUUGGUCUGAAAGUUGUUUUAAGCCUUUAUCUUCCUGCAGAGUUCAGACUCCAGUUGAGACUUUGCUGGUGCAUAACUGGAAGGCAUAAGCAGCUGUUUUGUCUACACAAAUGCCCCACUUUGCAACAGGGACAUGGAUUAAAUCACCAGAGUGCUGACGUUCCCAUGCUUUCAUGUCUGCCCAGAAGGACAGGCAAGCUUUCACACGGCUCGCUGGGAAAGAUUCCUACCGCAGUUCAGCUUUGUGCAGCAUAGCAAGCAAAA